rnacentral:rRNA from 1 species
UACGUAGGGUGCAAGCGUUGUCCGGAAUUAUUGGGCGUAAAGAGCUCGUAGGCGGUCUGUCGCGUCGGCUGUGAAAACUCGGGGCUCAACCCCGAGCCUGCAGUCGAUACGGGCAGACUAGAGUGCUGUAGGGGAGACUGGAAUUCCUGGUGUAGCGGUGAAAUGCGCAGAUAUCAGGAGGAACACCAGCGGCGAAGGCGGUGCUCUGGGCCGGAACUGACGCUGAGGAGCGAAAGCGUGGGGAGCGAACAGG